rnacentral:rRNA from 1 species
CCUACGGGAGGCAGCAGUGAGGAAUAUUGGUCAAUGGGCGCGAGCCUGAACCAGCCAAGUAGCGUGAAGGAUGACUGCCCUACGGGUUGUAAACUUCUUUUAUCAAGGAAUAAAGUGAGGCACGUGUGCCUUUUUGUAUGUACUUUAUGAAAAAGGAUCGGCUAACUCCGUGCCAGCAGCCGCGGUAAUACGGAGGAUGCGAGCGUUAUCCGGAUUUAUUGGGUUUAAAGGGUGCGUAGGUGGGUAAUUAAGUCAGCGGUGAAAGUUUGUGGCUCAACCAUAGAACUGCCGUUAAAACUGGUUGACUUGAGUAUAUUUGAGGUAGGCGGAAUGCGUGGUGUAGCGGUGAAAUGCAUGGAUAGCACGCAAAACUCCGAUUGCGAAGGCAGCUUACUAAACUAUAACUGACACUGAGGCACGAAGGCGUGGGGAUCAAACAGGAUUAGAUACCCUUGUAGU